rnacentral:tRNA from 2 species
UGCCGGUGUAGCUCAAUUGGUAGAGCAACUGACUUGUAAUCAGUAGGUUGAGGGUUCAAGUCCUUUCGCCGGCAUCC